rnacentral:sRNA from 2 species
CGGCAAGCAAUGCCGAAUCCGCGCUACCGACGUGGAACGGGGGAACCACAGGGCCAGGACGGCCCGGGGGCGAAUCGGACAUCCCGUCCGUAGCGCGAUCUCUUUCAGCGCGAGCCCGUCAGCUAACCCCGUAGGCCGACGAAGGAGAAUUG